rnacentral:rRNA from 1 species
UGGGGAAUUUUGGACAAUGGGCGAAAACCUGAUCCAGCAAUGCCGCGUGUGUGAAGAAGGCCUUCGGGUUGUAAAGCACUUUUGUCCGGAAAGAAAUCCUUGGCUCUAAUACAGUCGGGGGAUGACGGUACCGGAAGAAUAAGCACCGGCUAACUACGUGCCAGCAGCCGCGGUAAUACGUAGGGUGCAAGCGUUAAUCGGAAUUACUGGGCGUAAAGCGUGCGCAGGCGGUUUGCUAAGACCGAUGUGAAAUCCCCGGGCUCAACCUGGGAACUGCAUUGGUGACUGGCAGGCUAGAGUAUGGCAGAGGGGGGUAGAAUUCCACGUGUAGCAGUGAAAUGCGUAGAGAUGUGGAGGAAUACCGAUGGCGAAGGCAGCCCCCUGGGCCAAUACUGACGCUCAUGCACGAAAGCGUGGGGAGCAAACAGGAUUAGAUACCCUGGUAGUCCACGCCCUAAACGAUGUCAACUAGUUGUUGGGGAUUCAUUUCCUUAGUAACGUAGCUAACGCGUGAAGUUGACCGCCUGGGGAGUACGGUCGCAAGAUUAAAACUCAAAGGAAUUGACGGGGUCAUAGCUGUUUCCU